UCUGCUGUGAUGAGAUUAAAACACUUGGAUGUGUUGUGGGCAGUGGACGAGACCCUAAAAAGUCUCGCCGUGAGCCUAAUUCAUAAACGACUUCUCCUUCCACUGAGCAUU